rnacentral:tRNA from 1 species
GGGAGCAUAGCUCAGUUGGGAGAGCACCUGCCUUACAAGCAGGGGGUCACAAGUUCGAGCCUUGUUGCUCCCA